rnacentral:tRNA from 1 species
CCUUUCGUAGCCGAGUGGUGAGAGUAUCGGCAUGUAAAGCCAAGUAUCCCGGGUUCGAUUCUCGGCGAGAACG